ACAUCUCCACUCAUCUGUCAUGAGC
rnacentral:miRNA from 8 species